ACAAGCGGUGGAGCAUGUGGUUAAUUCGAAGCAACGCGAAGAACCUUACCAGGCCUUGACAUGCAGAGACUUUCCAGAGAUGGAUUGGUGCCUUCGGGAACUCUGACACAGGUGCUGCAUGGCUGUCGUCAGCUCGUGUCAUGAGAUGUUGGGUUAAGUCCCGUAACGAGCGCAACCCUUGUCCUUAGUUACCGGCACGUUAUGGUGGGCACUCUAAGGAGACUGCCGGUGACAAACCGGAGGAAGGUGGGGAUGACGUCAAGUCAUCAUGGCCCUUACGGCCUGGGCUACACACGUGCUACAAUGGUCGGUACAAAGGGUUGCCAAGCCGCGAGGUGGAGCUAAUCCCAUAAAACCGAUCGUAGUCCGGAUCGCAGUCUGCAACUCGACUGCGUGAAGUCGGAAUCGCUAGUAAUCGUGAAUCAGAAUGUCACGGUGAAUACGUUCCCGGGCCUU
rnacentral:rRNA from 1 species